GUUAGGAAUAUUGGACAAUGGGGGCAACCCUGAUCCAGCCAUGCCGCGUGUGUGAAGAAGGCCUUAGGGUUGUAAAGCACUUUCGGCUGUGAAGAUAAUGACAGUAGCAGAAGAAGAAGCUCCGGCUAAAUUCGUGCCAGCAGCCGCGGUAAUACGAAUGGAGCGAGCGUUGUUCGGAAUCACUGGGCGUAAAGGGUGCGCAGGCGGUCUUGAAAGUUAGAAGUGAAAGCCCCGGGCUUAACCCGGGAAUUGCUUUUAAAACUCCAAGACUAGAGUACUGGAGAGGUUCGCGGAAUUCCAAGUGUAGCAGUGAAAUGCGUAGAUAUUUGGAGGAACACCGAUGGCGUAGGCAGCCAACUGGACAGUAACUGACGCUCAUGCACGAAAGCGUGGGGAUCAAACAGGAUUAGAUACCCGGGUAGUCC
rnacentral:rRNA from 1 species